rnacentral:misc_RNA from 1 species
AACCUUAUGGACCUGCGGGCGUAUACCUGCGGAGGGAUCAUUACCGAGUUAGGGUUGUUACUCGCUGCCCGACCUCCCAACCCUGUGUCUACCACACUUUGUCGUUGCUUCGGCGGACCGGUCGACCAACUGGUCGUGACCGCCGGGGGCUGGCUCUGUCACCCCUGGAGAGCGUCCGCCGAUGGCCCAACCACAAACUCUUGUACCGAAACGUGUCGUCUGAAUAAUUGAGAAAUCAAA